AUGAACGCUAGCUACAGGCUUAACACAUGCAAGUCGAGGGGCAGCAUGGUCUUAGCUUGCUAAGGCCGAUGGCGACCGGCGCACGGGUGAGUAACACGUAUCCAACCUGCCGUCUACUCUUGGACAGCCUUCUGAAAGGAAGAUUAAUACAAGAUGGCAUCAUGAGUCCGCAUGUUCACAUGAUUAAAGGUAUUCCGGUAGACGAUGGGGAUGCGUUCCAUUAGAUAGUAGGCGGGGUAACGGCCCACCUAGUCUUCGAUGGAUAGGGGUUCUGAGAGGAAGGUCCCCCACAUUGGAACUGAGACACGGUCCAAACUCCUACGGGAGGCAGCAGUGAGGAAUAUUGGUCAAUGGGCGCAGGCCUGAACCAGCCAAGUAGCGUGAAGGAUGACUGCCCUAUGGGUUGUAAACUUCUUUUAUAAAGGAAUAAAGUCGGGUAUGUAUACCUGUUUGCAUGUACUUUAUGAAUAAGGAUCGGCUAACUCCGUGCCAGCAGCCGCGGUAAUACGGAGGAUCCGAGCGUUAUCCGGAUUUAUUGGGUUUAAAGGGAGCGUAGAUGGGUGUUUAAGUCAGUUGUGAAAGUUUGCGGCUCAACCGUAAAAUUGCAGUUGAUACUGGAUAUCUUGAGUGCAGUUGAGGCAGGCGGAAUUCGUGGUGUAGCGGUGAAAUGCUUAGAUAUCACGAAGAACUCCGAUUGCGAAGGCAGCCUGCUAAGCUGCAACUGACAUUGAGGCUCGAAAGUGUGGGUAUCAAACAGGAUUAGAUACCCUGGUAGUCCACACGGUAAACGAUGAAUACUCGCUGUUUGCGAUAUACAGCAAGCGGCCAAGCGAAAGCGUUAAGUAUUCCACCUGGGGAGUACGCCGGCAACGGUGAAACUCAAAGGAAUUGACGGGGGCCCGCACAAGCGGAGGAACAUGUGGUUUAAUUCGAUGAUACGCGAGGAACCUUACCCGGGCUUAAAUUGCAGAUGAAUUACGGUGAAAGCCGUAAGCCGCAAGGCAUCUGUGAAGGUGCUGCAUGGUUGUCGUCAGCUCGUGCCGUGAGGUGUCGGCUUAAGUGCCAUAACGAGCGCAACCCUUGUUGUCAGUUACUAACAGGUUCCGCUGAGGACUCUGACAAGACUGCCAUCGUAAGAUGUGAGGAAGGUGGGGAUGACGUCAAAUCAGCACGGCCCUUACGUCCGGGGCUACACACGUGUUACAAUGGGGGGUACAGAGGGCCGCUACCACGCGAGUGGAUGCCAAUCCCCAAAACCUCUCUCAGUUCGGACUGGAGUCUGCAACCCGACUCCACGAAGCUGGAUUCGCUAGUAAUCGCGCAUCAGCCACGGCGCGGUGAAUACGUUCCCGGGCCUUGUACACACCGCCCGUCAAGCCAUGGGAGCCGGGGGUGCCUGAAGUGCGUAACCGCGAGGAGCGCCCUAGGGUAAAACUGGUGACUGGGGCU
rnacentral:rRNA from 1 species